GAGAGAGGUUCACUCUGAGGGGCGGAUCAGUCGCGCUGUGUUAUGAUUGGUGUAGGAUGCGCGUGAGAGGUACAGUGGUGAAAUUACAGGUUAUAAAAGGAUUUAAAUGAACAUUGAAAACUAUCUAUGUAUGGAGUACGGUUGUUGUAAUAAGGGUGUGAAUCUCGCUUUGUCAGACACAUCUCGGUACAGGGUGCAUUCACCGUGAGACACACGCGUUUCAACCAGUUCACACGCCACAGGUUGUAUUUCUCACGCUGAGGAGUUAAAAGGCACCGACCAGCCAAUCAGAAAUUAGAAUUUCUUGUUUCCGGGUAAAUUACGUGACACCGCUGCAAGCGCGUACGUUACUAGGCAACAUGGAUGCGCGCGCGCACGGAGUGGACGUUAGAAAAGCAAGAGCUGAUGAAUGCGCUUGACGAUCCAUCCGUCUCUGCACGUAUCUCUGCUUGCCUGUCAGACAUCUCCGUCUGGAUGAGGGAACACCACCUUAAACUCAACUUGGCAAAAUGUGAGCUUCUCGUCAUCCCAGCCUGCCCCUCAAUCAACCACAACCUCACUGUGCAGCUCGGCUCGACCACAUUCAAGCCAACCAGGACAGCCAGGAACCUUGGGGUGGCUCUUGAUGACAGCUUGACCUUUACAGACCACAUCUCAACAACUGCACAAUCCUUUAGGUUCAUUCUGUAUAUAAAAUCAGACCCUACCUCACCGAACAGGCUACACAACUACUAGUCCAGGCUCUUGUUAUAUCAAAACUGGACUACUGCAACGCAAUACUCUCGGGCCUCCCAGCCAGCUCCAUCAAACCCCUUCAGAUGAUUCAGAAUGCAGCAGCACACCUCGUCUUCAACCAGCCCAAGAGAACCCAUCUCACACCCCUCUUCAUCUCCCUCCACUGGCUUCCUGUAGCCGCCUGCAUCAAAUUCAAGGCCUUGAUGCUCACCUACAAGACCUUGUCUGGAACAGUACCCUCCUACCUCAACACUCUCCUGAAGGCUUACAUUCCCUCACGCAAUCUGCGAUCAAUCCACGACCGACGCCUAGUACUGCCUACUAUCACUUUAUCUUUGUAAUUGAUAAAUAUUCGAAAUAAAUUGUUAGUAUAAA